GAUGAACGCUGGCGGCGUGCCUAAUACAUGCAAGUCGAGCGAACAGACGAGGAGCUUGCCCCUUUGACGUUAGCGGCGGACGGGUGAGUAACACGUAGGUAACCUACCUAUAAGACUGGGAUAACUUCGGGAAACCGGAUCUAAUACCGGAUAAUAUUUCGAACCGCAUGGUUCGAUAGUGAAAGAUGGCUUUGCUAUCACUUAUAGAUGGACCUGCGCCGUAUUAGCUAGUUGGUAAGGUAACGGCUUACCAAGGCAACGAUACGUAGCCGACCUGAGAGAGGGAUCGGCCACACUGGAACUGAGACACGGUCCAGACUCCUACGGAAGGCAGCAGUAGGGAAUCUUCCGCAAUGGGCGAAAGCCUGACGGGGCAACGCCGCGUGGGUGAUGAAGGUCUUCGGAUCGUAAAACUCUGUUAUUAGGGGAGAACAAAGUUGUAAGUAACUGUGCACGUCUUGCCGGUACCUAAUCAGAAAGCCCCGCCUACCUACGU
rnacentral:rRNA from 1 species